GCCUAGCUCGGUCGGUUGCGCUUAGGGCCUACGGGCGCCGGAGCGGAGCCUCGCUGACGGCAACCUCGCAGAUGCAGCGCGCCGCCGCGUUGCUCUGCCGGUUCUUGGAAAUCCCCGGUAAACUCAAUCUAAACCUUCUCCGACCUCCCAAAUCUCGCCAAUUUUACUGAUUUUUUCAAGGACCCAGGCACCUAAGCAGACUUAUUGAAUCUUGAUCUAAUCGCGUCCUGUGAUUGCAACUGCAGCCUGAUCUGAUCUGCAUUUCCAAUAGCGUUACCGUGACUCUACAGAGUUGAUGGUUGGUAUCAGAAUGCUAGCCAGACCCAGAACCCUUUCUUUUGGUCUGAUUUCUGCUUGCUAGCAGACCAGCUUACCGAGACGGGCUAAGUGAUAGUGCGGAGUGGCAGCAGUGGGUAUCUGAUCUGCCACCUUAGAUGAUGUCGUUAGUUGAAUUCGCUAUCUAAGAAAAGCAGGAGGGGUUGUUGGAUCUGAUAAAAUAUGGUACUCCCUCCGUCCCAUAAUAUAAGAGCGUUUUGUUAAACGCUCUUAUAUUAUGGGACGGAGGGAGUACAAGUUUGCUGUACGUCAAUUGAGAUACGGCAAGGCACUGCUACCUUCAUGUGUAUCAUCCUGACCACGACUUGUCACAUGAUGAACAAAUGAUUUAUGAGGGGGUAUCCUUGAUUCCCAUGCGAUGCGAUUAGAGUGAAGUCUUGUUCCGGUCUCACACCAGGGUCUGCUACAAGUGCCCCUAAUGACACAGUUGGUGAUUCCUCCUUGAUUGUACAAGGCAUCGUGAUGUUGGGUGCACGCCAUAUAUGGAGAGGUUUAUGUUGACUAGUCUGAUCCCCUUGUUCAGUAUGCAUGUGCAACGUUUGACCAUGGAAUUUGUUUGGGUUUUUCCAGAUGAACUUCAGCGAAGACUGGAGAAGCGGCGGGCAAAUCAUUGGCAAUGGAACACUAUAUGCUCUUUUUAUCCUGGUCAGUUAUGAUGAGAAUCACAACUCCAUGCUUCAGUAAUCUUUCAAGGUACAUGUAAGCAUGUUUGUCUGUACAUUUGCUCCUCUGGUUGGUUUCCUCAGAACAUAAUCAGUCUCCUUGAUUCCCAUGUAAUUAGAGUGAAGUCUCCUUUCGGUCUAACACUAGGAUCUGCUAGAAUUUCCCCCAAUGUCACCCUUAGCGAUUCCUCCUUGAUUGAAACAUCAAUUGUAUGAUGUGUCGUGCUAAGUGGACACAAAGCAAAGUCUGUUAUGUCCAGUGGAUGCCCUUGCUGUAUGGCCUAUUGGUUUCUGUUAGCAUAUCUUCUCCCCUUGUCCAAUAUGCAACGCCAAAACUGAACAUUGAGAUUCUUUCUCAACACAUCUGCGUACAAAUUUGUUGCGACAAUUGAACCUUCCAUAUUCUGCAACACCUUGACGAAUUCAUCUGCUAUUUGUACUAGCCAUGGAUGUUCUGCACGGUCUACACUUCCGAAUGCCAGCUUCUUGAAAAGGUACCUCAACUCGUCGUCAGACAGAAGGCUUAGGAAAAUUGGUUUCACUGAUCCAAACCGGGCUAAUCUUUUAAGUUUACUUAUGAUGAUGAUCUUCCUUCCUCUGCCCAUUGUUAUGACAAAUGAGUGAAACCUUUUCCAGUCAUCGUCACUUACAUCAGAAGCAAACUCAAUAACUAUCAAGAUCAUCCCUUCCAUGGUCCUUCCAUGGUCAAGUAUUCUCAAAAGGUUGUCUCCAUUCAAGUGCAGUACAGAGGAGAAGCUCGAGCGAACCCUUUCGUCGCCGCACAUAUGAGCAACCAAAGAUUUCUUCCCCGUUGUGGCAUCACCUAUGAUCGGAAGAACUGCCAGAGUAUGAUCUCCAGGAGGGCCUUUACGCUGCAACAAGAAGCUCAAGAGCUUUUGCUUUUCAGCGUGUCGGGCAAACAUGAAGUUGUCGGUGUAAAGAUAAACAUCAUAUGGCCUACGAGACAUACGCUCAAAUCCACCCAGAAGCACAGCAAAUUCUGCCAUGUUAGCAACAGCAAUUUCUAACCUUUCCAAGGCACCAUGUGACUCGAGGCACGUGGCCAUAUCAUUUGUUAUUCGUGAGCGCUUGGCUAUAUAUAAGUUGUUCCUAGAUGAGUCGUUGAUUCUAACCUCAUCGAAGCCGGCACUGUCUUGGAGGGCAUGGUACCUUGAGUUGUCCAGCACACGGUAUCCUCGGUACAUGGCCUCUGAGAGCGUCUUAAGCUGCAUCAUCAUCCCGGAGUUGGUUAUAUAUCGCGCGUCUGCCUCCUCAACGAUGGUGCCAGCUCUCAUCAGGAGGUGCUGCAACCUCUCCACCGCCUUCUCCUCCUCUGACCAGGCAUGGCUGAAGGAGUUGUACUUGUUCAUCAGGAAGGAGAUGAACUGGCUCACGAGUUCACCUGCAACUGCAGAUAUGGCAGUCUCCAUGGCUGGGAUUGAUGAGGUAAGCUGCUGGUUGGUCUCUGGACAAAUUAAAUUUGGCCUCUGCCAAGUCUUGUGGAGAUUCUUGGCAAAAUAGAAAAGUCUCCAUGGAUGACUUGGACUGUGACUGUGGACGGGUGACACACGGAUACUUGUCUAAAUGUCCAAACAUGUGACAAGGACAACCGAACUGCCAAAGCAGCAUCAUUCUUUUACCAGUAUUUCUAAUAUUCACGGUAGGUCCAAAUUGAUUAUUAUUCCAUUGCAAAAUGUAUAUUUAAUUUAUUUGGAUUUGUCUACCAUUGGAUUCCUUUUUCCAUUUUACAUAUGCGGCAAUGGCAUCCCACAUGUGUAGUGUACUAUUGCAACGUUUGACCAUGGAAACUGUUUGAGUUUUCGUAGAUGAACUUCAGUGAAGAAGCAGCGCCACAGCUCAUUGACAAGGAAAUUGUACGCACCCUUUUAUCUCUGUGAAUGAUGAGAAUCACAACUCUAUAGCUUGGUUUCGGAGCACAUGUAACUAGUUUGUUCUACAUUUGCUCCUCUGGUAUCAUCAGUGUCCUUUGUGCCUAUUUUCGGAGCAGACGAACAAUUCCAGAAAAGAAAAUACACCUGCGCCACUAUAUUUACAUGCCGCUAGAUAAAUGUUGAAAAAAUAUUGAGCUCCAUGGGAUGUCAAAACAAGAGUUGAGCUCCACCUUGUACUUAAUGAUGGCACUCGUGCUCUGUCUCACUUAAUGCACAAGUGUGCGAUCAAACAGGGCAUGCCACUAACUCGUGGCUUCGUGUGGUUGUUUAUCACAAUUUUACCACAGUAGAAGUUUCAGAGACCAUGGUUAUGAUCAUAUUUGAGAACCAUGGUGGACUUUCUGAUGAUCCCCGUAUUUGCCUCGAACUAGUCAGGUGGCAUUAAUACAACAGCAGGACUCUUGGCAAAAUAGAAAAGUCUCCAUGGAUGACUUUGACUGUGACUCUGGAUGGGUGACACACGGAUACUUGUCUAAAUGACCAAACAUUUGAUAAAGACAUGCCAACUGUCCGAGCAGUAUGAAAAUAUUGACUAGUAAAUCUAAUAUUCAUAGUAAGUAGAUUCAAAUUUACUAUUGUUCCAUAGCAAAAUGCAUGUACAUUUACUUAUAUUUGCAUUUGUCUUCUUGCCUUGGAACUCCUUUAAUCCUUUUACCUUUUACAUGGCAUCCAAUAUAUGCGCACUCUACUCUGGCAAAGGUUGACAGUGAAAGUUGUUUUGGGCUUUCUAGAUGAACUUUGGUGGAGAAGCAGCACCGCAACUCAUCGGCAAGGGACGAUAUGCGCCCUUUUAUCUUGGUCAGUGAUGAUGAGAAUCAUAGCUGAUAGCUCCAUGCUUCAGUAAUCUUUCAGGAGACACGCAACCUGUUUAUUUGUACAUUUGCUCCAUGCUUCAGUCUGUAAUCGAAAACUGUUGCAUCUUAAACAUCCUUCAUGGUUGUGGAUUCUUCAUGGUUCUGAUAGUAUGGUGCAAAACUGGUUUUGUUUCCUUUCAAAACUGGGAGUUGCUUUACCCUUGUAAUCACUAGAAUAUCCGUUCAAAACUAACUGGUAGCAUUUGCACAUUAUUUUUUUAGGCUUGUUAGAGCAAUUACAGAUGCACGAGACACUGAAAUUUGCACAUCUGUAUGCCAG
rnacentral:lncRNA from 1 species